GACGAACGCUGGCGGCGUGCUUAACACAUGCAAGUCGAACGGAAAGGCCCUGCUUUUGUGGGGUUCUCGAGUGGCGAACGGGUGAGUAACACGUGAGUAACCUGCCCUUGACUUUGGGAUAACUUCAGGAAACUGGGGCUAAUACCGGAUAGGAGCUCCUGCUGCAUGGGGGGGGUUGGAAAGUUUCGGCGGUUGGGGCUGGACUCGCGGCUUAUCAGCUUGUUGGUGGGGUAGUGGCUUACCAAGGCUUUGACGGGUAGCCGGCCUGAGAGGGUGACCGGCCACAUUGGGACUGAGAUACGGCCCAGACUCCUACGGGAGGCAGCAGUGGGGAAUAUUGCACAAUGGGCGGAAGCCUGAUGCAGCAACGCCGCGUGCGGGAUGACGGCCUUCGGGUUGUAAACCGCUUUCGCCUGUGACGAAGCGUGAGUGACGGUAAUGGGUAAAGAAGCACCGGCUAACUACGUG
rnacentral:rRNA from 1 species